CAAGAUAUUGAGUCAAAUCAAAGAUGUUUGUAUGUAACACUUAGGGUUGGUCCAUACAAUUACAGAGAACAAUAUAGCCAUAUAGGAGCCACACAAUUACCAUGACAAACUGUUCCAAACAUUUAAUUGCAACUUACAACCUGAUACAUUGUUCCCAAAGCGAAGGAGCAAGUAGACGCAGUAAUUUAUACUUGAGAAACUACUCGGCAACAUGCUCGUUGAUCCUCACUUUUUACUCUCUGGAUGGCAUAGGCCAACUGAAAACUGACAUCCACACGGCAUGUUUUAGUUGCGGCAGCAACCGUCCGCUUCUUGUGGUAGCAAUAUGUCCAGUGAGAGAUGAAUCAUGUGGUCCGUGCGGAGUGCCUAUAAUCACUGGAUUCAAGUUUGUUUCAUUAACCCUUUCUGUCAGCAUUGAAGACCUCGUAUUAAUUCAUCGCCAUCAGACUGCCGACAGAUCAAUCAUCCUCUACCCCAUCUUUGGCCCAAAAGAUGGCGGCACUCCCUGUAAAUUGCAAACCAACCAAGCAAGU
rnacentral:misc_RNA from 1 species